rnacentral:rRNA from 1 species
CCUACGGGUGGCAGCAGUCGAGAAUCAUUCACAAUGGGGGAAACCCUGAUGGUGCGACGCCGCGUGGGGGAAUGAAGGUCUUCGGAUUGUAAACCCCUGUCAUGUGGGAGCAAAUUAAAAAGAUAGUACCACAAGAGGAAGAGACGGCUAACUCUGUGCCAGCAGCCGCGGUAAUACAGAGGUCUCAAGCGUUGUUCGGAAUCACUGGGCGUAAAGCGUGCGUAGGCUGUUUCGUAAGUCGUGUUUGAAAGGCGGGGGCUCAACCCGCGGACGGCACAUGAUACUGCGAGACUAGAGUAAUGGAGGGGGAACCGGAAUUCUCGGUGUAGCAGUGAAAUGCGUAGAUAUCGAGAGGAACACUCGUGGCGAAGGCGGGUUCCUGGACAUUAACUGACGCUGAGGCACGAAGGCCAGGGGAGCGAAAGGGAUUAGAUACCCUUGUAGUC